CGUGACGGCGCGAGCAGGUGCGAAAGCAGGUCAUAGUGAUCCGGUGGUUCUGAAUGGAAGGGCCAUCGCUCAACGGAUAAAAGGUACUCCGGGGAUAACAGGCUGAUACCGCCCAAGAGUUCAUAUCGACGGCGGUGUUUGGCACCUCGAUGUCGGCUCAUCACAUCCUGGGGCUGAAGUAGGUCCCAAGGGUAUGGCUGUUCGCCAUUUAAAGUGGUACGCGAGCUGGGUUUAGAACGUCGUGAGACAGUUCGGUCCCUAUCUGCCGUGGGCGCUGGAGAACUGAGGGGGGCUGCUCCUAGUACGAGAGGACCGGAGUGGACGCAUCACUGGUGUUCGGGUUGUCAUGCCAAUGGCACUGCCCGGUAGCUAAAUGCGGAAGAGAUAAGUGCUGAAAGCAUCUAAGCACGAAACUUGCCCCGAGAUGAGUUCUCCCUGAGAC
rnacentral:rRNA from 1 species